GACGAACGCUGGCGGCGUGCUUAACACAUGCAAGUCGAACGGUAAGGCCCUUCGGGGUACACGAGUGGCGAACGGGUGAGUAACACGUGGGUGAUCUGCUCUGCACUUCGGGAUAAGCCUGGGAAACUGGGUCUAAUACCGGGUAGGACCACUGCCUGCAUGGGUGGUGGUGGAAAGCUUUUGCGGUGUGGGAUGGGCCCGCGGCCUAUCAGCUUGUUGGUGGGGUGAUGGCCUACCAAGGCGACGACGGGUAGCCGGCCUGAGAGGGUGACCGGCCACACUGGGACUGAGAUACGGCCCAGACUCCUACGGGAGGCAGCAGUGGGGAAUAUUGCACAAUGGGCGCAAGCCUGAUGCAGCGACGCCGCGUGAGGGAUGACGGCCUUCGGGUUGUAAACCUCUUUCAGCACCGACAAAGCGCAAGUGACGGUAGGUGCAGAAGAAGGACCGGCCAACUACGUGCCAGCCGCCGCAGUAA
rnacentral:rRNA from 1 species